rnacentral:rRNA from 1 species
CCCUUAGAUGUCCUGGGCCGCACGCGCGCUACACUGAUGCAUUCAACGAGUUUUACCUUGGCCGAGAGGCCUGGGCAAUCUUUUAAACCUGCAUCGUGAUAGGGAUGGAUUAUUGCAAUUUUUAAUCUUGAACGAGGAAUUCCUAGUAAACGCAAAUCAUCAAUUUGCAUUGAUUACGUCCCUGCCCUUUGUACACACCGCCCGUCGCACCUACCGAUUGAAUGGUCCGGUGAAGCCUCGGGAUUGUGGCCAGUUCACUUUAUUGGGAGUUGGCUGUGAGAACUUGUCUAAACCUUAUCAUUUAGAGGAAGGUGAAGUCGUAACA